rnacentral:rRNA from 1 species
CCCUUAGAUGUUCUGGGCCGCACGCGCGCUACACUGAUGCAUUCAACAAGCCUAGCCUUGACCGAGAGGUCCGGGUAAUCUUUGAAACUGCAUCGUGAUGGGGCUAGAUUAUUGCAAUUAUUAAUCUUCAACGAGGAAUGCCUAGUAAGCGUGAUUCAUCAAAUCGCGUUGAUUACGCCCCUGCCCUUUGUACACACCGCCCGUCGCUCCUACCGAUUGAAUGUGUUGGUGAGGAGCUCGGAUUGGCAGCAGUUGGUGGUUCGCCACCGGCUAUUGCUGAGAAGUCCUCCAAACCGCCCCAUUUAGAGGAAGGAGAAGUCGUAACA